UGCUCAGCGUCCACUUGUUGACAAGUCAAACAUUUUUUACAUACAGAGCAGUUUCUCUCUUCAUAUUAUUCCACCAGUAAUAUGCCUCCUUCAAA